rnacentral:rRNA from 1 species
CUGCGGACGGCUCAGUAAAUCAGUUAUAAUCUGCUCGAUUGUAUAGGUUAUUGGAUAACCGUGGGAAAUCUAGAGCUAAUACAUGUAAUUUGGAGCGGUUUCGACCGUCUCUUGGCAUUUAUUAGACAAUUACCAAUCGCGGGGCAACCCGUGUGGUGAAUCUAGAUAACUUAGCAGAUCGUAUGGCCUAGUGCCGGCGACGUUUCGAUUGAAUUUCUGCCCUAUCAACUAUUGUCGGUAGUGUAGUGGACUACCGAGGUUUUUACGGGUGACGGGGGAUCAGGGUUCGAUUCCGGAGAGGGAGCCUGAGAAACGGCUACCACAUCCAAGGAAGGCAGCAGGCGCGCAAAUUACCCAAUCCAGACAAUGGGAGGUGGUGACGAAAAGUACCAGAUGACGGUCAAAGACUGUCAAUCUGGAAUGGAAUCAAUUUAAGCAAUUGAUUGAGGAACGACUAGAGGGCAAGUCUGGUGCCAGCAGCCGCGGUAAUUCCAGCUCUAGUAGCGUAUCCCAAAGUUGCUGCGCUUAAAACGCUCGUAGUUGGAUCACAAACUAUAUUCGAGUUGGUGUGGUGCUGUGUCAAAUUUAAAGAUUUUCCGGGGUGUCAUCACUUCGGGAAUGAUUUAUGUGAUGCAGUGUUGCUACCGUAAGCUAGUGUAUAGUAAUUGCACGUGAGGAUAGACAUUCGCCUUGAAUGAGUAGAUGUUUGUGUCUCACGGAGUGUGCCUUGAAUAAAUCAAAGUGCUUAAAGCAGGCUUUACGCUUGAAUGUUAAAGCAUGGAACGAACAAUCGUGUAGGGUGCAUGUUGAUUUAUGGGUGCAGGGCCUAGCCAGGCAUUCAUCAACAUGUGACACCGACCACCAAUAACGGAUGUUGGUUCCGUAUUGGGGUAUUGAUUAAGAGGAGCGGUUGGGGGCAUUGGUAUUUGGCAGCGAGAGGUGAAAUUCUUGGACCUGUCAAGGACUAACAAAUGCGAAGGCAUCUGUCCAGACCGUAUCCAUUAAUCAAGAACGAUAGUGAGAGGUUCGAAGACGAUCAGAUACCGUCCUAGUUCUCACUGUAAACUAUGCCGACCCGGGAUCAGUUUGGAGCUCUAUUCCAUGCUCGGAGUUGGUCCCCCUGGGAAACCUAAAGUUUUUCGGUUGCGGGGGGAGUAUGGUCGCAAGGCUGAAACUUAAAGGAAUUGACGGAAGGGCACCACCAGGGGUGGAGCCUGCGGCUUAAUUUGACUCAACACGGGAAAACUUACCUGGUCCGAACAUCCGAAGGAUACACAGACUAAUAGAUCUUUGUUGAUGGGGUGAAAAGUGGUGCAUGGCCGUUCUUAGUUCGUGGAGUGAUCUGUCAGGCCAAUUCCGGUAACGAACGAGACUACCUUCUCCAUUUGACGCGCUGAAGAAUGCAGGCGUACGGUCGUUAAUCAGUAAAACGGUAAACGAGUUGUGCGGUUGCAGGCAGUAUACGCUGAGUUGUUUGGUAUCUGUUCAGGGCAACCUGGCGGAAGGAAGACGAUGAGGCGAUACUCCCUUCGGUUACACAACGUAUUUAUACGUUGCAUCAUGGAGAGACGGCGGUAUAUAUUCAAAAACCGAGGAAGUGUAGCUAUAACAGGUCCGUGAUGCCCUUAGAUGUUCAGGGCUGCACGCGCGCUACAAUGAUAGCAACAACGAGUUUGUAAAUCGAGAGAUUUGGGUAAUCUUGCAAUUGCUAUCGUGAUGGGGAUCGACGCUUGUAAAUGUGUCGUGAAAGAGGAAUCCCUAGUACACGCGAUUCAUCAGAUCGCAUGGAUUGCGUCCCUGCCCUUUGACACACCGCCCGUCG